GAUGAACGCUGGCGGCGUGCCUAAUACAUGCCAGUCGAGCGAACAGACGAGGAGCUUGCUCCUCUGACGUUAGCGGCGGACGGGUGAGUAACACGUGGAUAACCUACCUAUAAGACUGGGAUAACUUCGGGAAACCGGAGCUAAUACCGGAUAAUAUAUUGAACCGCAUGGUUCAAUAGUGAAAGACGGUUUUGCUGUCACUUAUAGAUGGAUCCGCGCCGCAUUAGCUAGUUGGUAAGGUAACGGCUUACCAAGGCGACGAUGCGUAGCCGACCUGAGAGGGUGAUCGGCCACACUGGAACUGAGACACGGUCCAGACUCCUACGGGAGGCAGCAGUAGGGAAUCUUCCUCAAUGGGCGAAAGCCUGACGGAGCAACGCCGCGUGAGUGAUGAAGGUCUUCGGAUCGUAAAACUCUGUUAUUAGGGAAGAACAAAUGUGUAAGUAACUAUGCACGUCUUGACGGUACCUAAUCAGAAAGCCACGGCUAACUACGUG
rnacentral:rRNA from 1 species